UGUUCCUGCAAAAGUGCUACGUUUUCAAGGAGACUCUAACAAGUACAGGUUUCUCAUAACCUUCAGAUCAUAUCCCUGAACUGGACACAGUUAGAAACACUGAUUAUACUCUGAAGGCUUGAACUGGAAUAUAUAUUUGAGAAUGCACAUAGAAGGAACUAAGGUUCACUUUAUGGAGCCAAUGAAACACCUUGGAAAACCAGCCUGGUACCUGCUUACAGGGUUCCUAGCUAGCAGCUUUGCCAGAAAUGUAUCUGAUUGCUUACACAAUAUAGGCCUAACUUUAGGAGCAAACCUGUAUCACCACCUCCUGCAACCAGAGACACUGUUUAAACAGACCUAUUCUCAGCACUAACAGGCUGCUUCAGUGAGCUGGAACCAUCUACCCACUCAGCUUUUGGACUAUGAAACUUCUUGAGGACUUUUCAAAGGUGGGGACCGAAAGGAACAGAAUGUGCCACUUUGGCAGGUGCAUCAUUUUGAGCUGAAGGGAAUCAAGACCCAGCAGACUAAGGAGUUUUUACUGCUCCCUUAUCUGUCUAGAAGAAUUUAGACAGUAGGCUGGUGCUAGAAAGAGAGCUAUUACCAGAGGUAACUUUUUUUUUUCUGAAAGUCUUAUCUGCAAGGCAGGGCAAACAUUGAUUAUCACACAUAUGCUUUUCUCACCUUCCUUCCCUUUUAAAUCCCUGGCCCCUAUCCAGGUCCUGAGCUCAGGAUAGUAUAUGAGCCUCAACUGUCUGUCUUUGAGUCUCUUAUUUUUAUGGGGCUCCCAUAACAUGUGCAAUUAAAUUUGUUUUUCUGUUAGAAUCUAUCUUAUGUAAAUUUAAUUAUGUACUGGACCAGCAGGAAAAAUUUUCUGCCUUUACAAUGUACACACACAUGCAUACCCCAAAGUAUUGCAAAAUUAAGAAAGAGUUGUGACUCUAAGUCACUACAGAGACAAUUGCAAGAUCCCUGUAACUCCAAAUGUGUACGAGUGAGCAACUUGAAUGUAUUGGAGGAAUGUUCUAGAGAUUAGUAAAAUACACAUUAUUU